UCCGACUUCACGUCGGCAGUCUCGUUAGAGUGCCCAGCUUUCCUGGUGGCAACUAACGACAAGGGUUGCGCUCGUUGCGGGACUUAACCCAACAUCUCACGACACGAGCUGACGACAGCCAUGCAGCACCUUCUCACCGGUUCCCCGAAGGGCACCCUGGUCUUUCUACCAGGUCCCGGUGGAUUUAACCCAGGUAAGGUUCUUCGCGUUGCGU
rnacentral:misc_RNA from 1 species